rnacentral:rRNA from 1 species
CGUAGGGUCCGAGCGUUGUCCGGAAUUAUUGGGCGUAAAGGGCUUGUAGGCGGUUCGUCGCGUCGGAAGUGAAAACUCAGGGCUUAACCCUGAGCCUGCUUCCGAUACGGGCGAACUAGAGGGAUGCAGGGGAGAACGGAAUUCCUGGUGGAGCGGUGGAAUGCGCAGAUAUCAGGAGGAACACCGGUGGCGAAGGCGGUUCUCUGGGCAUUUCCUGACGCUGAGAAGCGAAAGCGUGGGGAGCAAACAGGCUUAGAUACCCUGGUAGUCCACGCCGUAAACGGUGGGCACUAGGUGUGGGGGACAUUCCACGUUCUCCGUGCCGCAGCUAACGCAUUAAGUGCCCCGCCUGGGGAGUACGGCCGCAAGGCUA